ensembl:lncRNA
GCCUACUUUACAUUAUUUCAUCAUAUGGCACGUUUUUACAACAUGUUGAAAAAUCGAAAUUUUUUUCCGACAUAGUAUACUAUGGCGUUUUUGUUGCGCCAAAAUUCAUGUUGAUUUUUUUUUCAAAGAAAACCUUUCUGGAGUGUUUUCCACGGCCUACUUUACAUUAUUUCAUCAUAUGGCACGUUUUUACAACAUGUUGAAAAAUCGCAAUUUUUUUUCGACAUAGUAUACUAUGACGUUUUUUUUUGCGCCAAAAUUCAUGAUGACUUUUUUUUCAAAGAGAACCUUACCAUAAUGUUUUUCACAGCCUCCUUUACAUUAUUUCAUCAUAUGGAAUGUUUUCACAUGUUGAAAAAUGACAUUUUUCGACAUAGUAUAAUAUGGCGUUUUUUUUUUUUACGCCAAAAUUAAUGUUGAUUUUUUUUUCAAAGAAAACCUUUCUGGAGUUUUUUUCACUGCCUCCUUUACAUUAUUUCAUCAUAUGGCAUGUUUUCACAACAUGUUGAAAAAUGACAUUUUUCGACAUAGUAUACUAUGGCGUUUUUGUUGCGCCAAAAUUCAUGUUGAUUUUUUUUUCAAAGAAAACCUUUCUGGAGUGUUUUCCACGGCCUACUUUACAUUAUUUCAUCAUAUGGCACGUUUUUACAACAUGUUGAAAAAUCGCAGGUUUUUUUUCGACAUAGUAUACUAUGACGUUUUUUUUUGCGCCAAAAUUCAUGAUGACUUUUUUUUCAAAGAGAACCUUACCAUAAUGUUUUUCACAGCCUCCUUUACAUUAUUUCAUCAUAUGGAAUGUUUUCACAUGUUGAAAAAUGACAUUUUUCGACAUAGUAUAAUAUGGCGUUUUUGUUUUGUUUUUUUUACGCCAAAAUUAAUGUUGAUUUUUUUUUCAAAGAAAACCUUUCUGGAGUUUUUUUCACUGCCUCCUUUACAUUAUUUCAUCAUAUGGCAUGUUUUCACAACAUGUUGAAAAAUGACAUUUUUCGACAUAGUAUACUAUGGCGUUUUUGUUGCGCCAAAAUUCAUGUUGAUUUUUUUUUUCAAAGAAAACCUUUCUGGAGUGUUUU